rnacentral:sRNA from 1 species
UUGCUUCCAAUAACUGAGAUAUGUGGUC